UACGUAGGUGGCAAGCGUUAUCCGGAUUUAUUGGGCGUAAAGAGAACGCAGGCGGUCUUUUAAGUCUGAUGUGAAAGCCUUCGGCUUAACCGGAGUAGUGCAUUGGAAACUGGGAGACUUGAGUGCAGAAGAGGAGAGUGGAACUCCAUGUGUAGCGGUGAAAUGCGUAGAUAUAUGGAAGAACACCAGUGGCGAAAGCGGCUCUCUGGUCUGUAACUGACGCUGAGAUUCGAAAGCGUGGGUAGCAAACAGG
rnacentral:rRNA from 1 species